rnacentral:rRNA from 1 species
AUUGAACGCUGGCGGAAUGCUUUACACAUGCAAGUCGAACGGUAGAGGGGGCAACCCCUCGAGAGUGGCGAACGGGUGAGUAAUAUAUCGGAACGUGCCCAGUCGUGGGGGAUAACGUAGCGAAAGUUACGCUAAUACCGCAUACGAUCUAAGGACGAAAGCGGGGGAUCGCAAGACCUCGCGCGCUUGGAGCGGCCGAUAUCAGAUUAGGUAGUUGGUGGGGUAAAGGCUCACCAAGCCAACGAUCUGUAGCUGGUCUGAGAGGACGACCAGCCACACUGGAACUGAGACACGGUCCAGACUCCUACGGGAGGCAGCAGUGGGGAAUUUUGGACAAUGGACGCAAGUCUGAUCCAGCCAUUCCGCGCGCAGGAUGAAGGCCCUCGGGUUGUAAACUGCUUUUGUACGGAACGAAAAGGUCUCUCUUAAUACGGGGGACUCAUGACGGUACCGUAAGAAUAAGCACCGGCUAACUACGUGCCAGCCGCCGCGGUAA